AGUUGGAUGAAGUUGAUUCUUGAAGUAAUGUUGAGAAAAUAAAGUUUACUUAGUUUAUUUUUUUUAAACCCCGUACCGUGGAUUUUGGGUGAUUACGUACAUAAUGUGUUUAAACCCUGAGUCCCUAAACAGUCAACAAAUGGAUUUUAAAUGCCGUGUCAAGUUCAGCUACCUAGCGAAAGAGACUGGGAAUGUUCCUGCAAAACUGCUUCGAUUUAGCGACUUACUAGAGAUUGUCCUUUCAAUGCUGACACUAAAGACUGUCAUCCGUUGGGGCAUCGAAAAGACAAGCUUUGUGGUUUCUGUCCUGCUAUUCACCACCAACUAGGGCAACCAGGGAAGAGUUCAGUGACUUAAGUACCACAGUUUGAAGAAAUUACUACUCAUCCAUUCUGCAGUGCUAGUAAGACAAUGGGCAAGAGAGCAGAGAUUAUUAGGGUCAUUUGGUGUU